rnacentral:lncRNA from 1 species
GUUUCUCUUUUUCAGGCGUAUUUUCUCAUCUUGUCUGAAGCUUUUGAGGGCAGACUACCAAGGCCCGGAGGAAUAGUAGAUGGUCUGUCUAGAAUUCCAAAGGCAAAUGACUCAAGGUAACAGGAAAAAAGAAAAUCCAGUAUCAGGAUAAUCAGAACACCACAGGUUUACAGUUUGUAGAAACUAGAACACGAGCAGCUCUCACUUAAGGUCUGUGAUGGAACUCCAGUGGAGAAAUGGCUGGUACUUUUUCCACCCCUUAAUCAGAUUUUUUUUUUAAUUAAAGUAUGUAACCGGUUAUUUUUACUUGAAGUAUUUUGGGGUGGUCUUAACAGGGAAGAGGGUGGGGGAGAAAAUGUUUUUUUCUAAGACUUUCCACAGAUGCUAUAGUACUAUUGACAAACUGAGUUAGAGAAGGAUUGUACUGCUAUGCUGUUGGCACCAAACACCUUCAGGGAUUGGAGCUGCUUUUUUCCUUGGAGUAUUCCCAGUGAAGCUGAAAUAUACAGCACAGUGCAGCUUUGGUUCAUAUUCAGUCAUCUCAGGAGAACUUCAGAAGAGCUUGACUAGGCCAAAUAUUGAAGUUAAGUUUUCAAAUAAUGGAACUUUUUAAGAUGCCUUUUAAAGGGGAGGGGCAAGUUUUGGCAAUUAGUUGGCAGUGGCCUGUUUUGGUUGGGGUUGGGUGGGUUGGGUUUAGGUAAUUGUUUAGUUUAUGAUUUCAGAUAACUCAUGCCAGAGAACUUAAAUACUUAGGAUGGAAAAACUAAAGAAAUCUCACCUCCCAAGUUGGCAAGUAACUCCUGAUCCUCUAGUUUCUUGUUUUACCCCAAUUUUUGAACUGGACAGCUGGGAACUUCAAAGAUUCACUGGAUUUAAAGUGUAGGGCUUGGGAAAGGAAAGUGUUGGAUUGGGGGUUGGUCUAGCCCACUGGGUUGACCAAGAUAAAAACUUGGGGAAUUGUUUAAACACUAAAGUUGUUUGGAUAUGGUAGUGUGUGGUUCUCUUUUGGAAUUUUUUUCAGGUGAUUUAAUAAAACUUAAUACUACUAUAGGAGCUUCAGAGCAAAGGAAGUGGCUUAAUGAUCCUGAAGGGAUUUCUUCUGAUGGUAGCUUUUAUAUUAUCAAGUUUCUCAUUAUCAGAAGAGUUGCUUCAUAUCAUCUGGGAGCAGAAAACAGCAGGCAGCUGUUCACAGAUAAGUUUAACUUGCAUCUGCAGUAUUGCAUGUUAGGGAUAAGUGCUAUGUUUAAUAAGAGCUGUGGAGGUCCUAGGUCCCUUACUCAAGGGAUCUCAGGAUUUUGAGGAAUUUUCCCAUCCAGCCUUUUAAAAUGAGACAGGCCUUAUGCCUGUGGGCUUCCAUGAUGGGCUAACUCACUUCACUCGAGGCAAGUAAUUCCUUAAAGCCUCUUGAGAUUAAUACCUUAAUAAUCAAGGAUAAUGUUGAUAAAAUAAAAAUUUGUUUAGCAUUGAUUCUUGAAAACCCUAUGAAAAGAUAGCAUAAUGUGCUGUUAACCAGAAUCAGAUAUGUUAACCUUGCUAAAAUUUAAAUGUUAUGUGUAUUGUGCAGAAAACCGUAAAAUCACUCAAAAUAAAAUACUUUAUUUAGCGAAUGUAUGCUUUUAGAAAGCUGUCUCCUUAUUUAAAUAAAAUAUUGUUUGUCUGUAGUUAGUGUUGGGCAAUCUUGGGGGGAUUCUUCUCAUCUUUCAGAGACUUUGUCUGCGAACACUCUGUAAUGGACAAGAUCAGGAAUUGAGCUGAAGAACGAAUUUAACUUAAGGCAGGAAAGACAAAUUUUAUCCUUCGUAAAAUUGAUGACCAUUUAAUAAUUCCAGGCACAUGGCCAUAGAGACCCUCUAAAUAAAUAAGGAAUAAAUACUUAUUAGGCAGGUGGGAGAUUAUGAUCAGAAGAACAGGUAACUACACCUACGCAUUUUUCAGAAAGUCAGGAGUCGAAAUUGACAGUACUGAAGUAUAAUGCGGUCCACAUUUCCAAAGUUUGCAUGUUAAAUUGAAAUGCUUACCAUCUCAUCUAGUGUUAGCCAAUGCUUUACACUUAUUAGCCUUUUAUAUAGACACUUGGUGGGGGGCAUGUGGGUUUUUUAAAGAACUUUCCUUUGCAGAGGCUUCGUUUCAUCCUUCAUGAGGCUGUUCAGGAUUUUGACUUGCAUAUAAACGCUUGGCUCUGCCUUCUGUUCUCCUAGUGGGUGUGUGAGACCUUGCAGUGAGUUUUCAGCAUACUCAAGUAAAAA